UACCAGCACCCCGAGUGGCCGGGACGAUUAUUGGGCCUAAAGCAUCCGUAGCCGGUUUUACAAGUCCUCCGUUAAAUCCAGCUGCUUAACAGAUGGGCUGCGGAGGAUACUAUAAGACUAGGAGGCGGGAGAGGCAAGCGGUACUCAGUGGGUAGGGGUAAAAUCCGUUGAUCCAUUGAAGACCACCAGUGGCGAAGGCGGCUUGCCAGAAUGCGCUCGACGGUGAGGGAUGAAAGCUGGGGGAGCAAACCGG
rnacentral:rRNA from 1 species